rnacentral:rRNA from 1 species
AGCAGCCGCGGUAAUUCCAGCUCUAAUAGCGUAUAUUAAAGUUGUUGCAGUUAAAAAGCUCGUAGUUGAAUUUCGGGAUCAAGUCGUCGGUCGUGCCUCGGUACGCACUGGUGACAUUGGUUUCUCCCUUCUGAAGAACCUUGAUGUCAUUAAUUUGGUGUCUUGGGGAAUCAGGACUGUUACUUUGAAAAAAUUAGAGUGUUUAAAGCAGGCUCACGCUUGAAUACAUUAGCAUGGAAUAAUGAAAUAGGACGUUUGAUUCUAUUUUGUUGGUUUCUAGGAUCGACGUAAUGAUUAAUAGGGAUAGGUUGGGGGCAUUAGUAUUCAAUUGUCAGAGGUGAAAUUCUUGGAUUUAUUGAAGACUAACUACUGACGAAAGCUAUUGCCAAGGAUGUUUUCAUUAAUCAAGAACGAAAGUUAGGGGAUCGAAGACGAUCAGAUACCGUCGUAGUUCUAACCAUAAACUAUCGCCGACUGGGGAUCGGUAGUGUAUGUUUUAAAUUUUUAUGUACUUCUAUUC